rnacentral:lncRNA from 1 species
UUUGGGCUAUGGGGCGUAAGGAGUUUUGGCUUGGACAGAUAGGAAGAUAUAACCCUGCUACAGAUUAUAGACGUGUUUUGGUUGAGAUUCUCUGUGCUUGAUGCAUUGUCUGCCUACAACGCAGGGCAAACUCUACUCCUCCCUUCUGGCCCGGCCUGUAAUGAUGGAUUAAGUAGGUAAGUAAUAGAGUGGUAAUGAGAUAACCACUGACAUCGAGCAUUAACGUGGGAAUAAAUGAAGUUACCAUCCAGAACUAAUGGCCUGA